GUUCUCACUUCGGCAGCACAUAUAGUAAAAUCGGAAUGAUACAAAGAAGAUUAGUAUGGCCCCUGCUAAAGGAUGAUAUGCAAGUUCAUGAAGCAUUCCACAUUUUU